UACGUAGGGUGCAAGCGUUGUCCGGAAUUAUUGGGCGUAAAGGGCUCGCAGGCGGCCGACUAAGUCAGACGUGAAAUCCCUUGGCUUAACCAAGGAAUGGCGUCUGAUACUGGACGGCUUGAAUCCGGGAGAGGGAUGUGGAAUUCCAGGUGUAGCGGUGAAAUGCGUAGAUAUCUGGAGGAACACCGGUGGCGAAGGCGGCAUCCUGGACCGGUAUUGACGCUGAGGAGCGAAAGCCAGGGGAGCAAACGGG
rnacentral:rRNA from 1 species